rnacentral:rRNA from 1 species
GUAACCCCUACUCAACCUGCCCUAGAGACACGGACAACCCCGGGAAACUGCCAUUAAUCCGUGAUAGGUCAUCUCAUCUGGAAGGAGAGAUGGCUUAAAGGGGCGCGCGGGCUUCUUCCGCGUAUUCGCUCUAGGAUGGGACUGCGUCCGAUCAGGCUGUUGGCGGGGUAAUGGCCCACCAAACCUGUAACCGGUACGGGCCUUGAGAGAGGUGGCCCGGAGAUGGACACUGAGAGAAGGGUCCAGGUCCUACGGGGCGCAGCAGGCGCGAAACCUUCGCAAUGCGCGAAAGCGUGACGAGGUUAAUCCGAGUGGUCCCCGCUGAGGGGAUCUUUUGUCAGCUGUAAAUAGGCAGGCGAAUAAGGGGAGGGCAAGCCUGGUGUCAGCCGCCGCGGUAAUACCAGCUCCUCGAGUGGUCGGGGCGAUUAUUGGGCCUAAAGCAUCCGUAGCCGGUUCCGUAGGUCCUCUGUUAAAUCCACCCGCUUAACGGGUGACCUGCAGAGGAUACCGCGGGACU